ensembl:lncRNA
GAGCUGAGCCCCCUUUGCCAUCCUGCGGCCUUCUGCAGCCCGUUGAGUGGUCUCAAGAGGUGCUCAACUCUAAGUGCAUCUUAACCUUGACGUGUCAGCUCUGGGUUCACCCUAUAUAGGGUCUUAAAACCUCCUCGUGGCUAAAGCAAGGGCUAGAAGGAUGACCCCAGCCACCAGCACAUCCUCAGGGCUGGGGCACGGCUGUCUCUAUGGGCUUGGGGAGCUGUUGGUGGCAUGUGGCAUCCCCACAUGGCUGUGGCAACUGGAGGAGGGCUGGCACAGGGCAGUGCUCACCAGAGGAGCCGCCUCGUUGCAUCACUGCCCCUCGGACAGCGAGGAGGUGCCAGCAGUGCCGGGAGCUGCUGUGGCCGCACCAUGGGGCAGCUGCUGUGGAGCUGGGUGCUGUGGGGACUCUGGGUGCUGCCAGGUGAGUGCCGGGGUCGUCUGCGUCACCGGGGCAGCCGGACGCACCACGGUGCCAAGGAGGCACGGGGCUCUGUCCUGCAGUGGCCUGCGUGGUGGGGAGGAGAGAUGGGCAUCCAAUGGAUUACAGUGGGAAGCAGAGGGCUCGUUGCUCAGCCUGCCCUUGCUCACACCCGAGCCCCACCAGGGAAUGCGGGAGCAGCGGGCAUGGGGCCCCUUGUCCCAGCACAGGACCCAGCAGAGCCGGCUGGCAGCUCCCGCGUGUCUGACAGCAUCAGUGCCGAGCAACGUCUGGAUAUGUCACCCACUGUGCCUGAGCUGGGCAUGUGCCAGCUGUCCCCUGGCCGAGCGGAGCAGCCCUCUGCCCUCAGGGAUGGAUCAGGCAGAGCGGUGCUACAGGUGGUGCUGGCAGCGCUGGACCCCACGGGCCCUGGCAAUGAGCAGGAGGUGCCUUCUAGUGCAGCAGUCUCUGGGGAGGUGGCAGGAUGGGACAGUCCCCAGGCAGGGCUUGCCUACCCAAAACAAACCGACUGGCCGACCAGUGUCCCCAUGGCUCCUGGCGCCACUCAGAUCUCGUCCCCUGUGCCAAGUGGGCACACAAUGGCUGUUACCCAUGGGAACAGGGAUGUAGAGCCAGCCACAGCCACGCUGUCCUCAGCUCUACAUGUACCUACAGAGAAGAGGACAGGCACCCUGGUGCUAUUAGGCAGCAGCACCACUCCUACAAAGUCUGUGGGAGAACACAGUGCUCUGCAGAGCACCACUGGGCAGCCCACGCUGGGCACAGCCAUCCCUUUGCAAGAGGGGACCGUGGCCAAUGAACGUAUGGAAGCCACCAGCAUGCUGACAGGAGAUGUCCCAGCACCCACUGGAGGUUUGUCACCAUCAGUGACACAUGUUCCUGCAAGUCCUCUGGAGCUGGGGACAGAAGCACCUUCCUCAGCCACCAGCACAGCGAAUGAUGACGGUGGGUUGGGGCAGCCUCACGGUGCUGUCACUGCAGAGGGGACACCGGGGACAGCACAGGGCACGGUGCUGUCUGAUGUCCAACACAGCACGGGGACACCACCCCACUCCCUCACCUGGAUCCCAGCUGAGCUGCACACAGCCGCUGUGCGCCUGUCCCAGGAGGUAAUGCCAGGGCUGGCCGAGGCCACCUCUCCUCUUGUCACAGCAGCCAGUGUCACUGCGGGGCACACAGAGCCUGCAUCAACCAUGUCUGACCGCGUCACAUCUCCCACCGUGCCAGCAACCACAGGGUCUCCCCAUCAUGAUGGAAUACAGAAGUCAGAUACCACGAUCCUUCCAGG